AUUGAACGCUGGCGGCAGGCCUAACACAUGCAAGUCGAACGAGUGGCGGACGGGUGAGUAAUGUCUGGGAAACUGCCUGAUGGAGGGGGAUAACUACUGGAAACGGUAGCUAAUACCGCAUACCAUCGGAUGUUCCCCGAUGGGAUUAGCUAGUAGGUGGGGUAAAGGCUCACCUAGGCGACGGUCCCUAGCUGGUCUGAGAGGAUGACCAGCCACACUGGAACUGAGACACGGUCCAGACUCCCACGGGAGGCAGCAUGGGGGAAUAUUGCACAAUGGAGGCAAGCAUGAUGGAGCCAUGCCGCGGGUAUGAAGAAGGCCUUCGGGUUGUAAAGUACUUUCAGCGGGGAGGCGUUACCCGCAGAAGAAGCACCGGCUAACUCCGUGCCAGCAGCCGCGGUAAUUC
rnacentral:rRNA from 1 species